GACACAGACUCCUGGAGGGGCCGAGUGUGGAAAGAACACUCACUGAACAUCCCAGCAGUCGACAGUGUGACCGGACGUCCCGUAAACAUGCGAGUAUUUGUACCGCUUCUGGCUGCCCCUGGGGUCUUUCCCGUGGGAUGAGAUCAAGAGGGACAUGGAUGGGCAUGAGCUAAUACGUAAAUUGUCCCCUGGACUGGGAGUUCCACCAGGAAUUCAACCAGCUGCACUGGACAGUGACCCUGCCCUGGUGCCGGCCACUCAGCGGAGAGCACAGCCGGAGAGGACACACCUGGACGCUGCUGCCUCUGCUACUGGACCUUCCCGGGAGCUGCCCACAGUCUCCGCCCUGAGAGCCCUGAGGAUGGAGGGCCCAGGGCCUCUCCCUCCCGGGAGCACAGCCUGCCUCCCCUUCCCUCCACCCAGGCAGGUCCCCUGAGCUUCCUCGCGCCCCCGCUCCAAGGCCCUUCCUUUGCCUCCACAGCUUGUCUGCCGACCAUUUCUUCUGGGCAUGACUUCUCCCUGCGGUUCACCCAGGAAAUGCUCUCUGUGGUUUGGGUCUUGUCUGAAUUCCUUCCCAGCCAGAACCCAAGGUCCAAGGUUGCUGACCCCACCAGUCAGACACCGGGUGCCAUCCCCACCGCCCACAACACUACUACGUGCUAAGCUGUGAAUGAGUCACAGAAUGUCCCAGACACUCAGGAACAGCCUUUGAGUAAUGCUGGUUAGUAAUAGGCUGUAAUUCAAUUUCAAGCAAAAGAUAGAAAUAAUGCGUAAACUGGUGGGAGUCUCAGCAGAAAAAUGGCAACUAUAAAAAAAUAAAGAAAAAGACCCAAAUGGAAAUUGCCAACAGAAAGCCGUUCUGUUCUUACAGGUGUACUUGGAGAAUUAUGAGGAGAGGGGUUGGCAGGAUGUUUAAACUGCAGAGUCCCUUAAGCAAUAAUCAUAACACAAUAGCCGCUCGAGGUGCUGCGCGUCUGAGAGGUGCCGAGAGCCCAGAGAACCAGCCCCCUGACGAGCGGAGAACAUGGGUGGUUGGCUUUGAAUUAGGCCGCGAUGAGCCGCGCAAUCCUGCGCUUACAUUACCCCCCGAAGGUGAGAUCUGUGAAACCAAUGGCCCCGUCGGGCCGCGUGCCUGCUGCACAGCCAAUGCGUCUCGCCUCACUGGGGACCCUCCAGCGGCCACCUCACUGUGGUAGCGGGAAAGAUCAAAGCAGUCAUUACUGUUGGAAUGAGACUUCUGUUGACUGGCGCCACGCACGAGGGACGGCUGGCUCUCAGGGAGCCUCUCCAAGCACGUGGUCACCACCCCAGGCAGCCCACAUCCCAGCCUCUGGCACUGCCAUGGCCCCGGGUGGAAUUGGGCACCAUGUGGGGGUGUUUUUAAUCACAAUAGACAGACCGACCCAACCGCUGCCCAACUCAUGGCUACUUCCCCUUGCUGCCUGGAGUCCCGGAAGUCACUGGGCUCAGCAGUACUAAAAGGGCCAUCUAUAGAUAUAAAAGGCUAAGCAACUGGCCCACCGGCCGGUAGGUAUGACACACACUG